rnacentral:rRNA from 1 species
AAACGAUGUCGAUUUGGAGGUUGUGCCCUUGAUGCGUGGCUUCCGGAGCUAAAGCGUUAAAUCGACCGCCUGGGGAGUACGGCCGCAAGGUUAAAACUCAAAUGAAUUGACGGUGGCCCGCACAAGCGGUGGAGCAUGUGGUUUAAUUCGAUGCAACGCGAAGAACCUUACCUGGUCUUGACAUCCACAGAACUUUCCAUAGAUGGAUUGGUGCCUUCGGGAACUGUGAGACAGGUGCUGCAUGGCUGUCGUCAGCUCGUGUUGUGAAAUGUUGUGUUAAGUC